GGCUUAGAGUUUGAUCAUGGCUCAGGAUGAACGCUAGCGGCAGGCUUAACACAUGCAAGUCGAGGGGCAGCAUAAUGGUAGCAAUACUAUUGAUGGCGACCGGCGGACGGGUGCGUAACGCGUAUGCAACCUACCCUUUACAGGGGGAUAGCACUGAGAAAUCGGUACUAAUACCCCAUAAUAUUCUGGGAGGCAUCUUUCGGAGUUGAAAGCUUUGGUGGUAAAGGAUGGGCAUGCGUUGUAUUAGCUAGUUGGUAAGGUAACGGCUUACCAAGGCGACGAUACAUAGGGGGACUGAGAGGUUAACCCCCCACAUUGGUACUGAGACACGGACCAAACUCCUACGGGAGGCAGCAGUGAGGAAUAUUGGUCAAUGGACGGAAGUCUGAAUCAGCCAUGCCGCGUGCAGGAAGACGGCUCUAUGAGUUGUAAACUGCUUUUGUACGAGGGUAAACGCAGAUACGUGUAUCUGCCUGAAAGUAUCGUACGAAUAAGGAUCGGCUAACUCCGUGCCAGCAGCCGCGGUAAUACGGAGGAUCCAAGCGUUAUCCGGAUUUAUUGGGUUUAAAGGGUGCGUAGGCGGUUUAGUAAGUCAGCGGUGAAAUUUUGGUGCUUAACAACAAACGUGCCGUUGAUACUGCUGGGCUAGAGAGUAGUUGCGGUAGGCGGAAUGUAUGGUGUAGCGGUGAAAUGCUUAGAGAUCAUACAGAACACCGAUUGCGAAGGCAGCUUACCAAACUAUAUCUGACGUUGAGGCACGAAAGCGUGGGGAGCAAACAGGAUUAGAUACCCUGGUAGUCCACGCAGUAAACGAUGAUAGCUCGUUGUCGGCGAUACACAGUCGGUGACUAAGAGAAAUCGAUAAGCUAUC
rnacentral:rRNA from 1 species